GAGGAGAGGAGGGAGAUGGCGGGAAAGGGGAAUGGGGAAGGGAAAGAGAUUGUGUGGAAAUUUAACUGGGGUCCUAGAGCCAUACUGUGAGGGAAAAAGGAAGGGAAGUGAUUCAUUUCCUUUACCAAAACCUUUAGAGGUUUUACCCCAGACAGCGGUGCCUUCCAUCUUUUCAAAUCCUAUCUAAUUUUGCAGGCGCAGUUUCUUUUGCAGACUACCCGCUCAGGUGGUUCUCCUGUGGGCUCUGUCACACCACGGUUUAACCUCGCCUUAGAUGCCCCUCCUUCAGGUCUCCUCCCAUUCCAGGGUCUCUGAGGGAACUCUUCUCCAGCACUGCUACUGGUUUUGAAUCUCAGAGGCAGCUCAGCUUGAGAUUCCAGAGCAAAGAGAAUUGGUAUAUCUGCCCCCUUAGGAAAUAAGGCGACCAUGCCUCAGCUCUGGAGGUACCCAGUCACGGUAAGAUCAACUGCCUAAACUCACUCAAAAUCAAACCCACUAAUUCCUUAAUAACCCUCCUACUCUCUCCUUUCCCCUACAAAAUGCCUAAUCUUUCUAGAGUAAUUUAAGGAGUUAGUGUUUAUGUUAUGAUGAGUGGUAAGUCCAAACGGUGCAUUCAUUCAUUCCAUUCUUUCAUACAUUCAUCAUAUGUGUGUAAGGAAGGCAUCACUGGAAUAUGGGAAGGCUUUUAAGAGCCAAAGGAAUCCGAUCAUGUGUCCCCCUCUUAAUAUCUCUGACCUUCACUUUCCUCACCUGUAAAAUAAGCAUCUUAUAAUGCCUCCUUCUAGUUAUUGUGAGGAUUAAAUGAGCUAACUAUAAAGUGAUUAUCCAUUUUCCAGACAUAAAAUAAAUGGUUCAUAAAUGUUCGUAGCUAGCUACUAAAUGCUAGCUAUGAUUUGGACAUAGGGACCAAAUGAGUUGAUUUCACCAGCUAGGAUCUUUUAUUUUGAAAGAUCAUCUAAAGAUGCAACUUGAAAAUUGUGUGUGUCUUGAGGGUAGGGAGUUUUGUCUGCUUUGCUCACUCAAGUAAUUAGAAAAGUGACUGAUAACAAAUACAUCUUGAAUGAAUGAAAGAUGCUUCAUGGAAAAUUAGGCAACACUAAAGCAAAUGUGAUAUCACUAAGAGGCACAUAAGGAUAGGAAUUAAUCUUAAAUGAUCACUGAAAAGCAUUCUUUUAUCAUAAAAAUUAGGAGAAAUGUAAGUAAUCUUAUCUCAAAGACUUAUGAGUGUAUCCUUAACAAAUUACAACAGAAAUAAUUUCUACAUAAUAAAGGACAAGCUGCCCUACUCACUAGUAGGGGCAUCUGAGUAAUGACUUAAUUCUGUUUGAUACUAAUGAGAAUGGCUAAAAUACAUUUCUGGAAAUAAACUCUAAUUUAACUGUAUUAUAUAAAUGGAUCCUGCCAGGGGCUGGGAUGUAGUAGGUUCAAUCCCCAGAAUCAUAAAUAAAUGAAUGAAUAAACAAAUAAGUAAAUCCAAGAGUUCAUUAACUAUGAAAAGAAGAUACAUAUACCCAUGCAAAGCCACUCCAGCUUGGAAGAAAACACCACAGGAACCUUAGAGGUCUAAAGAUAGACUGACAUUGUGUUCCAUUAACAACCAAAUUAAUGGCUACUAUUCAUUACUGUGAGAAGGAUGCCAGCUCACUGGCAGUGGUCUGCAUGCUGUUUUCCAGGUACUUCUUUAAAAAAAAAAAAAGUGCAUUUUCCUGUCCUUGGGUAGUCAUUUGGGGGUUUUGAAUAAUCUGUUAACAAUCUUCAGUGGUUUCCUGAGUGAUUUUGAAAAACCAGUAACUCAAAGCAGGGAUGGAAGGAAAUGAAGGGAAGAGAGGAGCUUUACUGGUCCUGUGAGAAACCUUCCAUCAUCUGGUUAUGUAAUUCUGCAAUGUUAUAAACAUUAUAGCAUCCAAAUUCUGGUCAAAUGUACUGUAAAACAAUUAGCAUUCCUCUAUAACCAAAUCCUCUACAACAUCUGACCUCUUGCAGGAAUCAGAUGUCAAAAAUUCACAUUUUUUUAAAGUAAAAGAGCAAAUAUGUUUUCUUGGUAUUCUCAGUUUGGACUCAUAUUUCAGGUAGACAACAUGAUUUACCUUCCUGUAAAACAGGCUUUUUAUCGAACUAAACCUAGAAGCAGUGCAAUAACCACCCUAUCCAUGUUUCAUGUAUCUGCUGAUGAUAAAACUUGCUUAUUUUAGGGGCAACAGAAAAAUUUACUACAACCAGGUGGGAAUAAAACUGUGUCAAGACAUUUGAAUUAUAAGGAUGAUAACUUAGGUGUCUCCAAGUGAUUCCAAAUACACAUACAUUUUCCUACCUUAUCUCUACGUGUUUUAUGUUUCUCAUUAAAUGUUCUCAGUAUCUUGCUGCACUAGUUUUGAGAAGGGGCCUUGUAUAAAUGAAAAUGUAUCAUAAAACCAUGGUGGAUAUAUGUCUUAUUUAUGUUAGAUAGAGCCACCAAAUGUAUAGCAAUUUGUUUGUAUCUUCCUUUUCUCCCCAGGUGGUGAUUACAUUAAGAAAUUUAUGUAGAGUAAAAUUAUUUUCACAAGAAGCAUUAAACAAUUCUAAACAUUAUUGUUGAGCACCAAAUCAGGUUUGCAUUUUCCCAGGUGGCUGAAAUUAUGUUGGCUAAAACUUCCUAAAAAGCAACUCCCAUUUAGAGAGCAAAUAAUUUUGUGCAAUUAAUUUCUUUUUAUUUUACUUCAAUCUUACUGUUUUAUUCUUUGUGAACACAUUAUUGUUUUUAGAGACAGUAAAACAGAAACAAAAACAAAUGAGUAUUACCUCUGAUGCAUACAAUUGUGUUAAUGUUAGUAGUAGAGUGUCAUUCAUGUAUACCAAAAUAAACUUUUUUCCCAGAAAAGGUGGAAUCUGAGAAAGACUCUGAAAAUGUGUUCAUUCCACAAAGUUUGAAACAGAAAUUUGCCUUUGAGGACCUUAUAUCCAAUCCAAAGACAACUUCUGACCAUUUAGUAUUGUGAGAUAUGUAGGUUGUGCUCAGUAUAGUAUUAUCUGCCAAUACUGUAUUGUUCUCCCUGGAAUUCAGCUAAAGUAACAUCACAUACCUGCCAUUCCCUUGGAGACUAGAAAAAUAAGAUGCCAUUCCCAGGAGAGCCGCCUACCAAGCAAGUACAGCAGGUUUUGCUUUUCCUCUGAUUCAUCACUAAUUUUCUUUUAAUCAUAAGCCCUAUGGCUAUUUGAAAAUUCAAAUUUAAAAAAAGAAAACCUUUUUAAACCUUGGGCACCAUUUGUGUAAUUUCAACCAUGACAUAUUAUUUCAUGGGUAUACUCCAGAAGUUCUAAUUCACUGCUUUUCAAAUGUUAAUGUGCAUGUGGUUCACCUAGAGAUUUUGUUAAAAUCAAAUUUUUAUUUAUUAGGUCUGGGAUAGAGCCUGAGAAGCUGCCUUUAUAGCAAGCUCCCAAGUGAUGCCAACGCUGUUGGGUACCAAGAUCCUAAGCAUUUCCUCUUGAAGAAUGGACAAAAUAUCAGGAAGGAGGAAUGGCACAAAAGAAACCAGAAAAUGCUAUGAACCAGGACAUUGUCCUCUCCACCAGCAUCAGUCCUUAAGCAUUUAACAACAGCCAAUUAUAAGCAGAUACCCAGAGAAAGAUUCAUCCUGGCAGAAGGACAUCCAGAUGAGCAACCUGAAUUGCAAGGGAGCUUUGCUUGUUUAUUCAGAAAGAAUACCAGAAUGUCUAUAACAUUUGUUCUCCAAAAUUCCAAACCAGCAGCAUCAACAUGGGGUGAGACAUUUUUGGAAUCGCACACUGGGAUGUCCCAUCCCAGACCCACUGAAACAGAAGUUCUGGGUAUGGGGCCCUAAGUCUGGUUUCCAAAAGCCCUCCAGGUGAAUGUUAUUCACAAGAAACUUUGAGACCUACUGAUCUACACAGAGCACAAUUAUCAAAUAGGAAAGUGCUGGGAGAUUAGGAAAUUAAUGAUGACUUAAUUGUGUAUAGUCCUACAGGUUUUGAUAGGGUCUUGUGAUAGUAAGAUUAUGUGUCAACUUGGCUAGGCCACAGUUCUCAGAUAUUUAGUCAAAUAUUAUUCCAGAUGUUCUCCAAGAGUGUUUUUGGAUGAGAUUAAUAUUUAAAUCGGUAAAGUAUAUUGCCCUUCAUAUGGUGGGUGAUCCUUAUCCAAUUAACUGAAGGCCUGGAUAAAACAAAGGACUGAUUUUGCCCUAUCAUGAGGAAAUUCAGCCAGCAGAUAGAUUUCCAUUCUUACCUGGAUCUCCAGUGUGACAGUCUACCCUACAGGUUUUAGAUUUGUGGACAACCACCAUGAUCACAUGAGCCAAAUCCUGAAAAUAAAUCUUUACACACACACACACACACCAUGAUCACAUGAGCCAAAUCCUGAAAAUAAAUCUUUACACACACACACACACACACACACACACACACACAAAUUGUUCUGUGGUUCUGUUUUUCCAAAAAGGUAGUACAUGAUCUAAAUGUUUUACUCCCAAGUUUGUAGGGAGGGGUUGUUGAAAAGGAGGCUGCUAUUACCCAACAUAUUUUCAAAGCAUCCCUGUAUAACUGGGGUCCUUUGGCCCAAGGGCAAGGUCGAAUCUUCAGCCCUUUUGUGUACAGCCAGGAGCUAAGAAUGGUUUUAUAAUUUCAAGAUAUUAUUAAUCCACACACACACACACACACACACACACACACACUAACACGCACACAAACAUUAAAGAAAAAAAAGUAUGUCUCAGAGACUGUGUUUGGGGCCCAGAAUAUGUACCAUCUGGUCUUUUACAAAAAAGAAAAAUAUCUGCUGAUUCCUUUCCUACAACAUCAUGUGCUUCCUUAUAUGAAGCACUAACAUACAAUAUGGCUUCAAUGCCAUUUUUUUUGCCUUAGGAUUUAACCCAGGGCACUUGACCUCUGAGCCACAUACUUAGCCCUUUUUAUUUUUUAUUUUGAAACAGGAUCUCACUAAUUUGCUUAGGGCCUCCCUAAAUUGCUGAUGCUGGCCUAAAAUUUGCGAUCUCCCUACCUCAGCCUCCCGAGUCACUAGAAUUAUAGGUGUACACCACCACAGGUUGUACUUCUGUUCCAUUCUUGCCACCAAUACACAAUUUGAAUUUAUCAUAAAGAAACAUCAGAAAAUUUAGAUUGAAGGAAAUUCUGUAAAAUAACUCACCAGUCCUCUUCAAAAGUGUCAAGACCAUGAAAAACAAAGAUUGGUGAAUGGUUCAGAUUAAGAUACAUUUAAAGAGAAAAAAAAAACAAUCAAAUGCAGUUUAUAAUCCUAAAUUGGAAACUUGACCAAGAACAGAAUAUUAUUGCAACAGUUGGUAAAAUUUAAACAAGGUGUAUAGAUUACCUAACAUAUUAUCAAUAUUAAUUUCCUAGUAUUCAUGCUUCAUCUAAAAAUUAAUAAUGUGUCAGUACUUUGAGAAACCAAUGAAGGGAACACAAGAAUUCUUUAUAUUAACUCUGCAAAUUUUUUCACUAAAUUUUAUAUCAUUUCAAUGAGAAGUUUAAAAAUAACAGUCUCUAAAAACAAAGGUGAAUAGUUAGUUACUCUUUGGACAGUGUAGCAGAAAAGCAUAUUCUUUGAAGACUAUAGCAGAGCAUUAUAUUGGCUUAGAUUCAUCCAGAAGCAUAGAGGGCCUAGAGAGGACAAGUAAUGGAUUUAAUUGGGAUAAUAUCUGAAGUUAAAGCUGAUAUAACUUGACUGCAUUAGAAUUCUCUCUUUUAUAAAUGAGAGUCCUCCAACUGGACCUACUGACUCUCAUAACAGGAUGACAGGCAUGGCUGGAUUCCACAGCUCAAAUACCAUCAUCAUGCCCUCUUCCUCUGUCUGUUUCUGCUUUUCUUUAUAUUGACAUAAAUCUCAGGUUGCUCACAGUAUUUUCAGGCUUAUAACCUUACAGGUAGCAAGAGGAAAGAGGGUUUUUCUUUUCUAAGUGGUCAAACAUGAAUUUCAGAAUAAAGUAAUGAUCCUAUUCCCAUUGCUGGACCAGCUUCUUUGCAGAUUUGUACUCAGAUUUCUAGUAUUAAAUCAUCUGAUCAUGGCUAAAGCCAGGAAUGGAUGGACUCAUCUUUACCUGAAACUCAAUGAAGACAUGGAUUAUUUCCUAAAAGAAAGGGUGCUUCAUGUGGAAGGAGGUGGAGGUAGAGAAGAUGCAGUUAACCAAAGUCCAAUCUGGUAAUGUAGUUAGUACAAGUAUUUUAGUAUUUGAGGACAAAUUCAAGUGACCUGAUGGUGAAUAAAUGUGUGCGCAAAUGAUCUAA